AGAAUCAACGCUGGCGGCGUGCCUAACACAUGCAAGUCGAACGAGAAAGUGGAGCAAUCCAUGAGUAAAGUGGCGCACGGGUGAGUAACACGUGACUAACCUACCCUUGAGUGGGGAAUAACUUCGGGAAACCGAGGCUAAUACCGCAUAACACCUACGGGUCAAAGGAGCAAUUCGCUUUAGGAGGGGGUCGCGGCAGAUUAGCUAGUUGGCGGGGUAAUGGCCCACCAAGACGGUGAUCUGUA
rnacentral:rRNA from 1 species